rnacentral:tRNA from 1 species
GAAGUUGUGGCUCAGUGGUAGAGCACUUGCCUGGUAUGUGUGAGGCUCUGGGUUUGAUCCUCAGCACUGCA